AGUUUAUAACAACCUGUAUUACACAACAUAAGUUUAUAACAACAUAAAUUACACAACAUGAGUUUAUAACAACCUAAUUAAAAGCAAACCAAGUUACAUAACAUGAAGUAGCAUAUCAUCUUUCACUAUUUUAGAUCAUAUCAUGUUGAGACCACUUACAGACGAGUUACACAACAUGAACCAGUCUCCUAACAUAAACCAAUUACAUAACAUGAAGCAAUAUGAACCUAUUACACAC
rnacentral:lncRNA from 1 species